rnacentral:lncRNA from 1 species
AGACUUUCCUCUUCACUUCUUCUUCACCACAUUGACACCUUCCUGAACCAACCUCCAUCUCCAUCUCCAUCACCACAUCGACCACCGCCCUCCAUCAUCGUCCUCAACCCCAAACGCCGUCGCACCCCGCCACCCACUCCGUCGCACACAUCCGCCUCCAUCUCCAUCACCACUUCCCCGUCGCUGGUUCCGACCACCACGGCCUCACCCGUCUUCUCCAACCACACCGGAACCAUCACGCACCACCGUUCGCCCUCACCUUCGCCUCCGGUCUCCGACAUCAGUUCCAAAUAAUUUACACAACCACAAAUUCACUCAGUUUAACGAAGCUUCCAAUUCGUGAUUUUGCUUUACUGAUUCCGUUUUAUUCAGGAUUUGUGUGUGUUUUGAAUUGAUUCGACGGUCAUUUGGGUGUAUGUUCUAUAUGAAUUUCCGCUUAUGCUGUGGGUUUUGGACGUCGCCGGGUAGCUGAUCAAGUUUGAGAUUGACGUUACGAUACAGGAGACGCACUUCAUUACAUGUAUUUCAGGAAAUUAGUGGAUCGGGCGGAGUAUGCGUUGUGUCAAGGCUGCGUAGUGAAUAAAGAUGUCAUCCGAGUCGUCGAGUUUAGGAGGUGGAUCCCUUUCCUGGACGGGAUACACAAUUCUAAACUUGGGUUUUUAUUUACGUGCUUUUGAUGACUCAUUGUGAACUCUGCUAAUCAUGUCAUGGUUGUAACUUACUUUAUGUGUCAACAUUUUCAAUCAAUGUCGUUGUGGUAUUUUUAACUUAAU